CGUGAGCGACCUGCCCUAGAGAGGGGGAUAGCCGGCCCAACGGCCGGGUAAUACCGCAUACGACCAUGGCCCCGCAUGAGGCGAUGGUGAAACUCUCGAGGCUCUAGGAGGGGCUCGCGGCCUAUCAGCUAGUUGGCGAGGUAAUGGCUCACCAAGGCGACGACGGGUAGCUGGUCUGAGAGGAUGGCCAGCCACAUUGGGACUAAGAGACGGCCCAG
rnacentral:rRNA from 1 species